CCUCCAUUUCUUGGCGGGAAGCGGGUGUGCAGUCCCGUUCCCCGUGAUGUACGGAGGCAGAAAAAGGGGCUCUCGCCCUCACGGCGUCAUGUCUUCGGUGCUGGCGACGUCCCAUUCGCCGGUUCUAUCCUCUAGCACCGCGACAGGC
ensembl:snoRNA